UCUUCCUUUUGGGAGCAAGGAUACGUGCAAAGGAAUAAGUAAAGAGGUGUGGUGACCACUUUCCAGAGCCAUGCAGCUGAAGUCUGCCUCAGACCUGCUUGUGACCACAGGCUGCACGCACACCUCAUGCCUUAGCCUCCAAGCCCCAAGAACGAGCAGAACCAUUUCUCCUGUUUACCAGCCUGCAGGCCGCCCGGGAUGGCCUCCAGCCCACGCCCCCCAGGGAUAGAGUUGAUUACCCAGUUCCAAGGGCACGUGACUCACCUGGGCUGCCAUGAAGGUGAGAUGCAAGUGACUGGGAAGCAGAAGCAGCCAGAAUCUGCAGCCAGCCUGGGCGCUCAGCUCAGCUCCACGCUCUCAGUCUCACAUCCAGGGUUCUCCCAGCUCACUUGAGCUCCUGCUUCCUUGCAGAGACUGGAAAAUGGCACCUCCCUGUGCCUUGGUGGGGGGAAAUAAAAUGACAAUGAUGGGGAGGAGAGGAGUGACCAGUCCCACUUGCUGCUCUUACGCUGGCAGCAUCUGCUAAGUGUUUUACAAAACUUGGCAUCUAUUUUAUGGUCCUCCAGUGAAUGUACUGCAGUUAUGCUAAUACAUCAGAAUGUUAUCUAUUCCAAAAUAUUUGGUGUCUGUGUGUGUUCAGAGAUUGAUUUUAGAUAUGUGCAAUUGUAUAGGUAUGCAUGUAUAAUCGUGCUAGUUAAUACACAUCAUAUAGAUAAGAAAUACACAUUCUAUACACUGUUGAUAUAUAUACCAUGUAAUAUGAACAUAUUUAAGAAAUAUAUUGAAGAAAUAUAUAUUGGACUGUAGUGUAUGUGAAUACAGGUAAAUUACAGAUAUAGAAAUCUUUAAUAUUUAAAAAAUGUUACAUGCCAGGUUCAGAGCUUCACAGGUUGUAACACAUUUCUUUCUCAAAAAAAGCUGAUGAGGUAUACGCCCUCCCUAGUGGUGCAGUAGAUU